ensembl:lncRNA
GAACAGAUGCAUUCGACCUCAGAUUAGCACACCGUGUCGAACACGACGUCGUCUGAUAAACCGGCUGAGCUGAGGACGGAGGUGCAGCAAGCACAAAGGACAACGUUCAUUAAUUAUUCCGGCGUAGCAGCUCAGCAGCGAGCGGAGAAGGUCUCUCUCCGGACAGAUGGCUGCCGUUUGUCCGUUUUAAUGGAAAGACGAUUGGAGGUGGAUCUCGGUGUGUCCUGGCAUGUUAAUCUACACCACGUGUUUGUUUAGGAGUGUCUGAAAGAUUUACUCCCUCAAGACACAGACGACUCAAACACCAACCGGAAGUGAACAGCCAGGUUCAUGUCAAAGUGCUUCCAGAAAGAGCGAGAGAAUAAAGCAGCAAGAGCAGAAGUGUGUCGUGGAUGAAGUGUCUGGUGACAACAUGGCCGUCCUCCCUCUGGCUGCCGUCCAAAUUCCGCUCGUCUUCUGGGAAAACAGGAGGAGAAAUGGAACAACUGGUUUUAAUGAAAC